GGCGCAGGCGCAGCACAGGUAGGUGGGCGGGUGGAGCGCCCUUGCCGCGCCUAAGACGAUUCUGAGGUAGGUUGGGUGGUUUCGGAAGGAGCGCAUUCUCCCUCUGGRAGGUGACGGAAGCACAAGUAGGUGGCUCGGGUGAGAGUCGACCCCUAUAUCCAGCGGAUUUAGUGAGGAUAAAGACCAUAUUGGGUCUUGUUCUUCCUGAUACAAUGCCGUAAUUGCCUCGGCUUGUAGCCAGUGCCCUGUCUCAUUGUACCCUUUCGCUUUUCUGAUUUCGUCCCUUUGGGGAGUCUCGCCUUUUCGGUAGACCUGUUGUCCUUCUGUGGUUUUCAUUUCCUGUCUUAGUGUGUCCAGCUCUACUCCCUCAGGUCAAUGGAAUCUGACCGUGAGAAGUUUCUUCAUUAUUCAGACACCAGCUGGAGCCAGAAGGACAUCUACGAAGAACGGAGUAACCAAGAAGAGAAUUCUACCUGUUCAUUAUAUUCCAAUAUGGACGUUUUCUUUUUGGCUAUUAAAAAAAAAAAAAAAAAAAAGGAAACGAAAUUACCAAGUGGAAAGAAAGGAAAUUACCCCCAGUCAACUCUUUAUGCCUUUUUAUUAUAAUGAGAUAUAGUCCUGGAGGCAGGCUUGAAAUGGAGUCAAGUUUUGUCAUGAAGUUGGAACUGAGACCGGAAGCUAAGAAGCUUCAGAAGAAGUUAGAAAUGGUUAUGGAUUUUCAGUUUCACCCUUCUUACCAGAGUAUCUGGAGGGAAUGAUAUGAAUGUCGUAAAUGGCCCAAAGACCUUGAGAAUUAGAGGUCUGAACCAUCCAAAAGAAGCAGGCAUGGAGCAGUUGCUAUCUAUUAGAAAGGGGGUUCAGAGACUGGUUGUGUGAGUUAUGUUGUCUUUUACUUUAAAUUUUGUGUGUGUUGAGGGGGUACAUAGCAUUAUAAGGUGGGAAGAUACAGAAAUCCUAAAUACUGACAGAAACAACUGGAAGCAGGAGGGGGCUGAGGAAUAGUUUGUGAAACAAAUUCUGCUGAGGAUCAAUCCAGAACUUCCCUGAGGGUUCAACUUCUGCUGUGUAGGGACUAGGUUGUAAAUAGGCAAGCCCCAGGGCAUCUACAGAUGGUUAAGUGUGUAAGAGAGGGGUUGUAGUUGUCUGCUAGUGGAUCUGUGGGAAGCAGGUGCUAUC